UACGUAGGGGGCAAGCGUUGUCCGGAAUCAUUGGGCGUAAAGCGCGUGUAGGCGGCCCGAUAAGUCCGCUGUGAAAGUCCAGGGCUCAACCCUGGGAUGCCGGUGGAUACUGUCGGGCUCGAGUCCGGAAGAGGCGAGUGGAAUUCCCGGUGUAGCGGUGAAAUGCGCAGAUAUCGGGAAGAACACCCGUGGCUAAGGCGGCUCUCUAGUACGGUACUGACGCUGAGACGCGAAAGCGUGGGGAGCGAACAGG
rnacentral:rRNA from 1 species